GUCGGGGAUAUUGCACAAUGGGCGAAAGCCUGAUGCAGCGACGCCGCGUGGGCGAUGAAGGCCUUCGGGUCGUAAAGCCCUUUUCUGGGAGAAGAGACCAAGGACGGUAUCCCAGGAAUAAGCGUCGGCUAACUACGUGCCAGCAGCCGCGGUAAAACGUAGGACGCGAGCGUUAUCCGGAUUUACUGGGCGUAAAGAGCGUUGAGGCGGUUCUGUAAGUUGGACGUGAAAUCCCUCGGCCUAACUGAGGGGAGCCGUUCAAUACUGCGGAGCUUGAGGACAGCAGAGGGAGGUGGAAUUCCCGGUGUAGUGGUGAAAUGCGUAGAUAUCGGGAGGAACACCUGUGGCGAAGGCGGCCUCCUGGGCUGCUCCUGACGCUGAAGGCGAAAGCUAGGGUAGCGAACGGGAUUAGAAACCCCUGUAGUCC
rnacentral:rRNA from 1 species